rnacentral:rRNA from 1 species
UACAGAGGUCUCAAGCGUUGUUCGGAUUCAUUGGGCGUAAAGGGUGCGUAGGCGGCCAACUAAGUCAGACGUGAAAUCCCUCAGCUUAACUGGGGAACUGCGUCUGAUACUGGAUGGCUUGGAUUUGGGAGAGGGAUACGGAAUUCCAGGUGUAGCGGUGAAAUGCGUAGAUAUCUGGAGGAACACCGGUGGCGAAGGCGGCAUCCUGGACCAAUAUUGACGCUGAGGAGCGAAAGCCAGGGGAGCAAACGGG